rnacentral:rRNA from 1 species
UACGUAGGGGGCAAGCGUUGUCCGGAAUCAUUGGGCGUAAAGAGCGUGUAGGCGGCCAGAAAAGUCCGCUGUGAAAACUCGAGGCUCAACUUCGAGCUGUCGGUGGAAACUUUCUGGCUAGAGUCCGGAAGAGGAGAAUGGAAUUCCUGGUGUAGCGGUGAAAUGCGCAGAUAUCAGGAGGAACACCGAUGGCGAAGGCAGGUCUCUGGGCCACUACUGACGCUGAGAAGCGAAAGCAUGGGGGAGCGAACAGG